GUGCCAGCCGCCGCGGUAAGACGAACCGUCCAAACGUUAUUCGGAAUCACUGGGCUUAAAGGGUGCGUAGGCGGCACGGCAAGUUGGGUGUGAAAUCCCUCGGCUCAACCGAGGAAUUGCGACCAACACUGCCGCGCUCGAGGGAGACAGAGGUGAGCGGAACUUAGGGUGGAGCGGUGAAAUGCGUUGAUAUCCUAAGGAACACCGGUGGCGAAAGCGGCUCACUGGGUCUCUUCUGACGCUGAGGUACGAAAGCUAGGGGAGCGAACGGGAUGAGAUACCCCGGUAGUCCUAGCUGUAAACGAUGAGCACUGGGUCGGAGAGUCUUCCAUAACUUUCCGGCCGAAGCGAAAGUGUGAAGUGCUCCGCCUGGGGAGUAUGGUCGCAAGGCUGAAACUUAAAUGAAUUGACGGGG
rnacentral:rRNA from 1 species